AGUGAAUCUCAAAAAGCUACAAGGGUUUGGUGCUACAGAAGCUCUUUAUCCUUCUCCUUUGAAAUUUCUUAAGAUUCGCUGGAGAAGUUGGGGACUGCAGGAGAGAUCCAAGCAACUGGUGCAGAACCUGGAGAAACAUCCUUUGUACCGAGAUCCUUCAGAGCUCAGCAUAAGUGCUUGAAAGGAUUUAAAGGAAAUGUGUAAGCAGCAAAAAAGCUGGAAAAGGAGAGAGAAAAAAUCAGAUAUCGAAUACAGCAGAGAGCCGUAAUCAGAAAUUAAUAAUUGGAAAUUGAAAUAAGAUGAUUUGAAAGCGAAUGCAUCACUUAAUUUAGGUACAACGUAUGGGUUUAAUACUCUUGUAAGUGCAUGAAUCUAGUGGGCAACGACUUUAAACGCACUGAACAUACGACUGAAUUAAAUGCAAAAAGUGAUGCUUGAAAGAAUGCCAUUUGUAUUGCAAAGUUUUACAAUGAUACGAUACUUGUAUAAGGCUGUAAUUACAUUAUCAUGCUUCCCUCCCUACCCUUAAGGUCUUUGUCUUUCACAAGUUUGAUGAAGAAGGGGAAAGAAUUCUCAACUGCGUGAACUACCAUAAGGCUCCUGUUUUCUCACUUCUGAAUAUUUAAGUUCAAAAAAUCAGACAACGUUAACAUUUUUGCAUGCAGUAGGAUACGCAGAUCAAAAUAGCAACAGACCAGAGAUGAAAACUAUGCAGAGAAAAACAUGAAAGAUUCAGCACUGCCUUUUAAAUCUGUAUAGGCAAAUUGUGUUAUUUAAACCAUCUGAAUUACAGCAGUGCUUAAAAGUUCUGCCUUGUUUCGUCCUCAGUUUGGUUUUCUCCCCACCUUGAAGUCAGCUGACUCCCGCUCCUCCCUUGUGACACAUGCUUAGGCACCAUGCUAGGGCAAUCUGCCAGUUUUUAAAGGAUUUACAGCACCAAAAAUACACUCCUCCUUGCUGCUUGACACACUUAACAGAAAAACACUACAAUUACCUUCUCCGAAAGGCACAUUUUGAUUUAAGAAUAACAUUUUAACAGCCUUCUGGUCCAGUCUGUAACAAAUUAAAUCCUUUUCCAUUGCGAAUAAUCUCA